UGAGGAAUAUUGGACAAUGGGCGCAAGCCUGAUCCAGCCAUGCCGCGUGCAGGAAGAAGCAUCUAUGGUGUGUAGACCGCUUUUGUACGGGAAGAAACACUCCUUCGUGAAGGAGCUUGACGGUACCGUAAGAAUAAGGAUCGGCUACCUCCGUGCCAGCAGCCGCGGUAAUACGGAGGAUCCAAGCGUUAUCCGGAAUCAUUGGGUUUAAAGGGUCCGUAGGCGGUUUAGUAAGUCAGUGGUGAAAGCCCAUCGCUCAACGAUGGAACGGCCAUUGAUACUGCUAGACUUGAAUUAUUAGGAGGGAACGAGAAUAUGUAGUGUAGCGGUGAAAUGAUUAGAUAUUACAUGGAAUACGAAUUGCGAAGGCAGGUUACUAGUAAUGGAGUGACGCUGAGGGACGAGAGCGUGGGGAGCGAACA
rnacentral:rRNA from 1 species